CGUGUAGGCGGGCAAUCAAGUCAGAUGUAAAGGCGACGGCUUAACCGUAGUAUGUCAUCUGAUACUGGUUGUCUUGAGUUCGAGAGAGGGUGGUGGAAUUCCCGGUGUAGCGGUGAAAUGCGUAGAUAUCGGGAAGAACACCAGAAGCGAAGGCGGCCACCUGGAUCGACACUGACGCUGAGACGCGAAAGCGUGGGUAGCAAACA
rnacentral:rRNA from 1 species